CAAGGAUACAGACAAGAUCUUGGGAGAUGUCCACUAAGUGGGCAGGGCUAGAGAGUUUACAAGGGCUCUGGAAGCUUCACUAUGCAUAACGAACUGUGAAUUUCCUCAGAGUUGCUUCACACAUUCCAAUAUACUGGGGCCUACAAAGGCUCAAACAUGAUGACAACAGGUUUCUUCACACUGUUUGUUUACAGUGUCUCACCUUUAUUUUCAGAAAAGCAAUAUCAAAGAGAUGCCUGAUCUCCAAAUUGAAUUUGUUAUAAAAGGAAAAUGCUAGAAGCAACUCCUUAUGAACAGAAAUGGAUGCUAAGAGUCAGAAGAGAAACUGUUUCUGGGUCUGACCUGAGUGUUACUGUGAGGAAGCUGCUGCUGCUCAGAUGUCUGCGUCGGUUAUUACUGCCAUCAGCGUGUCAGCUAUUGUACAG